rnacentral:misc_RNA from 1 species
CGAUCGCCAUUCAGGAGGCGAUCGCCGGUAUUCGACCGUCGUUUGUCGAGCGACGUAUGACGAUGAUGAAAUUACUCAGCGUCUUGAAGCAUCGCGCAAGAGCACGCCUUGAGCUCGCUCGAGCUCGGAUGCAGCUGCGAAACGUCUGCGACUACGAAGUCAUUGGACGCUUCUGCGGACUACUGCUUUUCCCGUUUACCGUUUACGUGUGCGUCGGGCAAACGCAAGGCUACAGCGAGAGUCAAAUCCGCGACCGUAUCGCGAGCCGGAAAGACGUGCCCUGAGUGGGACUCGCACGCCCAAUGCUUUGGGCUUGGAUUUGUUUGUUUCACUUUCCACUGAACUCGACCGUGAUUCGCUCUGUGUCACAGAGUUGCGGCGACCGCGCCGCUACGGAGUGUGUAAGAGGUGUAUUCAGGUAUGUAUGUGCGGGCAUCGCGGCGCUUGGUUGACUCUUGCGCCGCUUGCAGGCUUUCAGUGUCCCCUCCCCUCCAGAAACCGUGUACAACCACGACAGCCGAAAAGGCACUAUUGAGGCGCUUUCCGUCAUGAAGAGCGCAAAUGAAGUGCGAAGACGCGCGGCGCGCCGGCUGUGACUCACAGGCAGCGUCCUAAACCCGGCACGAAUCCUCGGGGCCGAAUCGGCGACCACGCCAACUUGUCGGCCGUCUCGUGAAAGACGUGAUGUGGGCAUUGCCUGUUUUGUUGCUGUUUAGUCGCAGGACAACUCGGGCAGCUUCCGCUGCUCGAAAGACGGAUAGGGAGAGACGCAGGGAGUGAUGAGCAGUCACAUACGUGCUUAGAGGCGUUUUCGCAAGCGUUUUGUGUCCUAUUCUUCGUUUGUUCUUGACCGUACCUUUUUGUGCUUCUCCUCUGACUCGAUCUGCCCGCUGCCUAUUUUCCCCUCCCCCCGUCCCUCUGCUUGGCUGAUCACGCUUACAAAUGCCCAACGUUACAUCUCUGUGCGCGUACACACCCUACUCCGACGCUUCCAG